rnacentral:rRNA from 1 species
GACUCUGGACAUCGGAUAUCUCGGCUCUCGCAUCGAUGAAGAACGUAGCGAAAUGUGAUACUUGGUGUGAAUUGCAGAAUCCUGUGAACCAACGAAUCUUUGAACGCAAGUUGCGCCUGAAGCCAGAAGACGAUCAGAUACCGUCCUAGUCUCA